rnacentral:rRNA from 1 species
AGAGUUUGAUCCUGGCUCAGAAUAACGCUGGCGGCGCGCUUAACACAUGCAAGUCGAACGAGAAAGCCCCUUCGGGGGUGAGUACAGUGGCGAACGGGUGAGUAACACGUGGGUUACCUGCCCUUGAGUGGGGAAUAACCCCGGGAAACUGGGGCUAAUACCGCAUACGACCCUUCGGGGUGAAAGCUUUAUGCGCUCGAGGAUGGGCCCGCGGUCKAUUAGCUUGUUGGUGGGGUAAUGGCCUACCAAGGCUUCGAUCGAUAGCCGGCCUGAGAGGGCACACGGCCACACUGGCACUGAGACACGGGCCAGACUCCUACGGGAGGCAGCAGUGGGGAAUCUUGGACAAUGGGGGAAACCCUGAUCCAGCGACGCCGCGUGAUCGAUGAAGGCCUUCGGGUCGUAAAGAUCUUUCAGCGGGGACUAUGAUGAAGGUACCCGCAGAAGCAGGAGCGGCUAACUACGUGCCAGCAGCCGCGGUAAUACGUAGGCUCCAAGCGUUGUUCGGAAUUACUGGGCGUAAAGCGAGUGUAGGCGGUUCGCCAAGUCGAUUGUGAAAUCUCCCGGCUCAACUGGGAGGGUGCGGUCGAUACUGGCGAACUAGAGUACGGAAGAGGAAGGUAGAAUUCCUGGUGUAGCGGUGGAAUGCGUAGAUAUCAGGAGGAAUACCGGUGGUGAAGACGGCCUUCUGGACCGUAACUGACGCUGAGACUCGAAAGCGUGGGGAGCAAACAGGAUUAGAUACCCUGGUAGUCCACGCCCUAAACGAUGCAUACUUGGUGUGGGCUCUUCACUGAGUCCGUGCCGGAGCUAACGCGUUAAGUAUGCCGCCUGGGGAGUACGGUCGCAAGGCUGAGACUCAUAGGAAUUGACGGGGGCCCGCACAAGCGGUGGAGCAUGUGGUUAAUUCGACGCAACGCGAGGAACCUUACCUGGCUUAAACCGCAGUGGACCGCCCAGAAACUGGCGCGUUCCCUUCGGGGACCGCUGU